rnacentral:rRNA from 1 species
GACGAACGCUGGCGGCGUGCCUAAUACAUGCAAGUAGAACGAGUGGCGGACGGGUGAGUACAAGUUGGUAACUACCCAUCAGAGGGGGAUAACUACUGGAAACGGUAGCUAAUACGGCAUACUAUCGGAUAACCCAUAUGGGAUUAGCUAGUAGGUGAGGUAAUGGCUCACCUAGGCGAAGAUCCCUAGCUGGUCUGAGAGGAUGAUCAGCCACACUGGGACUGAGACACGGCCCAGACUCCUACGGAGGCAGCAGUGGGGAAUUUUGGACAAUGGGGGAAACCCUGAUCCAGCCAUCCCGCGUGUAUGAUGAAGGCCUUCGGGUUGUAAAGUACUUUUGGCAGAGAAGCGGUAUCUGCAGAAUAAGCACCGGCUAACUACGUGCCAGCAGCCGCGGUAAUAC